rnacentral:lncRNA from 1 species
ACAAGAGGGCCGAGGACAUAACAGUAGUAGACUGUUCACGGGCAUGUGUGAGUCCUGAAGUCAGUCUCUGAGCACACACACACCCUUCAGGGGCUCGUGUGGUUCAGACUACACACCAUCAGAUCCCUAAGCAGGCAGGAAGGGUCCUUAUCUACAGAAGCUUGGCUGCUCCAAGAGAUUCUCUGUAACAAACAGCAGAGUGAGGAAGAGUGGGGAGGUGUCCAGAAAGGGAAUGGAGGCACACAAACCAAGAGCCCUGUGCACUGCCAGAAGCACGUUCAGAAGCAGCGCUGGUCACGAUCUGACCCAGUCCAGCAUCACAUACACAGAGAAACUGUCAGUUUCAGGACAUCCAAGAGCAAGAGUGUGGAAACUGCCCUGUUGGACGCUCAGGAGGCUUUGAAUGGUACCCAACACCCGAGGCAAAUUGUACAGGCUGUUAGCCGACUUUACAAAGUGGGACUGUAUCUUGAAACUUAAAAACAAAAAAAAAACAAAAACAAAUGGAGAAAACCGAUCUGGUCUGUUUCUACAUUAGUUUGAAAAAACAAAACAAACAAACAAACAAAAAAAAAAACCCUAACCAAAAAAAAAAA